rnacentral:rRNA from 1 species
GACGAACGCUGGCGGCGUGCUUAACACAUGCAAGUCGAACGGAAAGGCCCUGCUUUUGUGGGGUGCUCGAGUGGCGAACGGGUGAGUAACACGUGAGUAACCUGCCCUUGACUUUGGGAUAACUUCAGGAAACUGGGGCUAAUACCGGAUAGGAGCUCCUGCUGCAGGGUGGGGGGUGGAACGUUUCGGCGGGUGGGGAUGGACUCGCGGCUUAUCAGCUUGUUGGUGGGGUAGUGGCUUCCCAAGGCUUUGGAGGGUAGCCGGCCUGAGAGGGUGACCGGCCACAUUGGGACUGAGAUACGGACCAGAGUCCUACGGGAGGCAGCAGUGGGGAAUAUUGCACAAUGGGCGGAAGCCUGAUGCAGCAACGCCGCGUGCGGGAUGACGGCCUUCGGGUUGUAAACCGCUUUCGCCUGUGACGAAGCGUGAGUGACGGUAAUGGGUAAAGAAGCACCGGCUAACUACGUG